rnacentral:rRNA from 1 species
AGUUCAGAUUGCAGGCUGCAACUCGCCUGCAUGAAGCUGGAAUCGCUAGUAAUCGCGAAUCAGCAUGUCGCGGUGAAUACGUUCCCGGGUCUUGUACACACCGCCCGUCACACCAUGGGAGUCGGUAACGCCCGAAGUCAGUGACCCAACCGGAAGGAGGGAGCUGCCGAAGGCGGGACUGGUAACUGGGGUGAAGUCGUAACAAGGUACC